rnacentral:rRNA from 1 species
GAUGAACGCUGGCGGCGUGCCUAAUACAUGCAAGUCGAGCGAACCACUUCGGUGGUGAGCGGCGAACGGGUGAGUAACACGUAGGUGAUCUGCCCAUCAGACGGGGACAACGAUUGGAAAAGAUCGCUAAUACCGGAUAGGACGAAAGUUUAAAGGUGCUUCUGGCACCGCUGAUGGAUGAGCCUGCGGCGCAUUAGCUAGUUGGUAGGGUAAAGGCCUACCAAGGCGACGAUGCGUAGCCGACCUGAGAGGGUGAACGGCCACACUGGGACUGAGACACGGCCCAGACUCCUACGGGAGGCAGCAGUAGGGAAUCUUCGGCAAUGGGCGAAAGCCUGACCGAGCAACGCCGCGUGAAUGAUGAAGGUCUUCGGGUUGUAAAAUUCUGUUAUAAGGGAAGAACGACUUUAGUAGGAAAUGGCUAGAGUGUGACGGUACCUUAUGAGAAAGCCACGGCUAACUACGUGCCAGCAGCCGCGGUAACAC